CGUUGAAACACCGGUUUUCAUAUAAUAACCCAAGUUAAGCAACGUCGAGUCUGGUUAGUACCUAGAUGGGUGAUCUCUUGAGAAUACCAGGUGCUA